CCUCGCCCACACCACUUCCGCCAAACCGGCCGGCCGGCCGGCUCCGCCACCAUAGGCCGAGGCGGCCGUCUACGUCAUUCCAGGAGCGCCAAUCAGGGCGGCGAAAGGCCGACAGGGCGGUGGAGAAUGAGAAUAAGAAGUUGAAUCUAGCCAGUUCUUAUGGGACGCCCCUCCACUACAGAGGUCCUUCAGGAGCUGUUGAAGGUCAAAAAGUUGGGAGACAGCAGCCUGGCUCAUCUCCCAGGUGCCUUCCAGCUCUACUUUGCUCUUCCUUAAGGAUCUAGAAGAGCCACCCCCGAGAAAAGGACAAGCGAGAAUCACUAGAACAGAGCAUAGCUUCCGUCAGCCAACAAAGUCACGAGGCAUCUCUCUCCACAGACAGCAGUGCUAGUUCCUCACGGCAUCAGGGGCUGCCCCAGGACUAGGCUCAGGGACAACCCCUCUCUGCUGGUGGGGGAAACAGCAGAGGAAGAAAACACCAGAAUAAAACAUCUGAAGGGUCGUGUCCUCAUACUAGCUCUAGUUAGCUAACCUCCAUGCUCACCCGCGGAAGGUUUCACCCAGCCCAUUCAGCCACUCCUGGAAACCAUAAACUUUGCCUUGAAAAGUGUUCACCAGAUCCACUUGGGCAGGGGGGCUGGACAGAAAAAUCAGAUGGCAUGCACGCUAUGACCAAGAAUACAACCUCCCAGAAACAUCUAAAUAAAAGUACAUACAUGCACAUGCAUGUGGUUGAAGCAGGAGGAUUCACAGAAAACAUUUUAAACUUUCCCGCAGUUAGAUGGAAGAAAUGGUAAGCAAUUUUAUAAUACUUUCUCUUAAUAUUAUUCUAUUUCAGCAAAAAAAAAAUACCAAGUAAAAAUCUCUUAGAAAUCUCUACAUGUCUUGGUCAAAAAUACCAACAGGUUGUAUCUUGGUGCAGAGGCAUAUUCAGGGGCAAGGGUCUCUCUCUAGCCUCAGUUGCCCACCUGAAAAGGUAAGAGGUGGCAUCCUGAGCACCCUCCUUCCUCUGCAGCAGAGUGAGAGGCAAUGAAUUGACCAGUGAUCCAUUCUGACAAAGCACAAGUGUUCCUCCCCGUUCCAGGCAGCAUGGAUUAAUCUGCCGCCCCAGCUGAAAAGCAUAGUAAUAUAAUACAGCACGGUGCCUUCUAAAUGGCUAAGUACAUACUACAUGCGUAGCUUAUAAAAAAACUUCUCAAAGAAAGCGGGUGGUCAAGGGGACAGGAGCAUGAAGAUACUUAGGAGGACACUCUCCGAGGGCAUGAGAAGGAUUUGGGCCAAGCAGCUGCAAGAACUGUAAGAUGGAGAAUGUGGAGGCCGAUGACCCACCACCUACCAGCCGUGUGAAGAUGGACAAGUUACCUGAACCCUAUGAGCUUCCAUUUUCUCACCAGCAAAUUAGAAGAAUAAUUAUACCCACCUGGUAGGGUUGUUCUGAGGACUCAACUAAAAUGAUCCAUGUAAAAGCACUGUGCUUGGCUCAUGGUAAGCUAUCAAGUGUCAUCACCAUCACUAUUCUGACCACGGGAACCUCCAACGGAACCGUGAAGGGGAAUUCUGACUGUUGGAGAUUCUGUUUAGCAUCGGCAGGGGAGAGGAGGAAGGUGCCCAGCAUCCCUGGGCAACAGGCGGAUGCUGACAGCAGGCCAAGGGCACCAAGACCGCCAAGAAGAAAGGCUCUGUGCCGCCUGGAGAAUCUUUCACUGUCACUUGUGUUGUGGGUCCCAGAAAUGACCUCACUGAGUCCCCGAAGCCUCAUGCUGGUUUGUCAGGAGUGGGAGAAAAUGAGGCCCCCAUACGAUGAAUGGAAUACAGAAGUUGGCAAUGGUCUCCCCGAUGUGCCCCAUAUCCACUCAGCUGCGGUCUGCCCAGAGCCAAGGAGCAAUGCCCACAUACCGGAAGCCUCUGACAUGAUGUUCCCCCCUCCCGGGGAGGUGGUGGAGGCAAGGGGCACACCUUGGGGGAACCCCAGCUCUACUGGUUGCUUACUCAUCCAUGUAGCAGUAGUGGUGAGGUAUUAAUAAACUGUAAAACUCA